rnacentral:rRNA from 1 species
AACGCUGGCGGCGUGCCUAAUACAUGCAAGUCGAGCGGACAGAUGGGAGCUUGCUCCCUGAUGUUAGCGGCGGACGGGUGAGUAACACGUGGGUAACCUGCCUGUAAGACUGGGAUAACUCCGGGAAACCGGGGCUAAUACCGGAUGGUUGUUUGAACCGCAUGGUUCAAACAUAAAAGGUGGCUUCGGCUACCACUUACAGAUGGACCCGCGGCGCAUUAGCUAGUUGGUGAGGUAACGGCUCACCAAGGCAACGAUGCGUAGCCGACCUGAGAGGGUGAUCGGCCACACUGGGACUGAGACACGGCCCAGACUCCUACGGGAGGCAGCAGUAGGGAAUCUUCCGCAAUGGACGAAAGUCUGACGGAGCAACGCCGCGUGAGUGAUGAAGGUUUUCGGAUCGUAAAGCUCUGUUGUUAGGGAAGAACAAGUACCGUUCGA